CCUGUGACGAUGGAUAUUGGGGUUUGCAGUGCACGGAGCAGUGUCCCAAUAACUGUGAAGGAGCUACCUGUGACAAAGUAUCUGGAACUUGUCCUUGUGCUAAUGGUUACUGGGGUCAGAAUUGUAAACGUAGAUGUGGCCAUUGCAGUGGAGGUUCCUGUGAUAAACAUGAUGGGCAUUGUGCUUGUCAGACUGGAUGGGCUCCACCGAGCUGUACAUCCUGUGUUGAUGGGAAAUGGGGAGAGUCUUGCGAUAUCGGCUGUGGCCACUGUAUUGGAACGUCUUGUGUGAAACAGACAGGCCUUUGCCAGUGUCAGAAUGGUUGGGCAUCGCCGAAAUGUACAUCAUGUGACACUAAUCACUGGGGUCUAUCUUGUAGUAAAGUGUGUGGCCACUGUAAAUGGGGAGCGGCCUGUAACAAACAAACAGGUUUUUGCCAGUCAUGUGCCGAUGGAUAUUGGGGUCAGUACUGCAAUAUCACCUGUGGCCACUGUAAAGGAUCCUCCUGUAACCAAGUGAAUGGAAGUUGUCAUUGCCUCAAUCGAUGGGCUCCACCGACAUGUACAU